rnacentral:rRNA from 1 species
UACGAAGGGGGCUAGCGUUGUUCGGAUUUACUGGGCGUAAAGCGCACGUAGGCGGAUCGAUCAGUCAGGGGUGAAAUCCCAGAGCUCAACUCUGGAACUGCCUUUGAUACUGUCGAUCUGGAGUAUGGAAGAGGUGAGUGGAACUCCGAGUGUAGAGGUGAAAUUCGUAGAUAUUCGGAAGAACACCAGUGGCGAAGGCGGCUCACUGGUCCGGUACUGACGCUGAUGUGCGAAAGCGUGGGGAGCAAACAGG